AAAAGUCCGGCAGCGCACUCCUCCUCCCGUCGCUGCCGAGUGGGACCGAAACCUCCUCCCUUCGGUCCCUUGUGAAAAAGACCGGGAUCCUCCCCCCGGUCUUUUUUCUU
rnacentral:sRNA from 1 species